UUAAGAUGAACAUAUCAAGGAUAAACUCUGCAAGGAGAAAUAGGAAUUACAUCUAUCAGUUACUAAAUAGACUACCAUCGAAGAGAAAAUCCGUCACCGGUUAGGAUGAACAUAUCAAGGAUUAACUCUGUAGGGGGAAAAUAGGAUUUACAACUGCCGGUUACUGGGCAGAAGACCAUAAAGAGAAGGAAACCCGUCAUCGGUUAGGAUGAACAUAUCAAGGAUGAACCCUCUG
rnacentral:lncRNA from 1 species